rnacentral:rRNA from 1 species
UCUGAUGCAGCCAUGCCGCGUGUGUGAAGAAGGCCUUCGGGUUGUAAAGCACUUUCAGCGAGGAGGAAAGGUCAGUAAGUAAUAUUUGCUGGCUGUGACGUUACUCGCAGAAGAAGCACCGGCUAAUUUAGUGCCAGCAGCCGCGGUAAUACUAAAGGUGCAAGCGUUAAUCGGAAUUACUGGGCGUAAAGCGCGCGUAGGUGGUUUGUUAAGUUGGAUGUGAAAGCCCAGGGCUCAACCUUGGAACUGCAUUCAAAACUGACUCACUAGAGUACGAGAGAGGUUAGUGGAAUUUCCUGUGUAGCGGUGAAAUG